AUACAGAGGGUGCGAGCGUUAAUCGGAAUUACUGGGCGUAAAGCGCGCGUAGGCGGCUUAUUAAGUCAGAUGUGAAAUCCCCGGGCUCAACCUGGGAACUGCAUCUGAUACUGGUAAGCUAGAGUUUUGGAGAGGGAAGUAGAAUUUCAGGUGUAGCGGUGAAAUGCAUAGAGAUCUGAAGGAAUACCAGUGGCGAAGGCGACUUCCUGGCCAAACACUGACGCUGAGGUGCGAAAGCGUGGGUAGCAAACGGGAUUAGAAACCCCGGUAGUCC
rnacentral:rRNA from 1 species